rnacentral:rRNA from 1 species
AUACGGAGGGUGCAAGCGUUACUCGGAAUCACUGGGCGUAAAGCGCGCGCAGGCGGUCUUUUAAGUUGGAUGUGAAAGCCUACGGCUCAACCGUAGAACUGCAUCCAAAACUAUUUGGCUAGAGUGUGGGAGAGGAAGAUGGAAUUAGUUGUGUAGGGGUAAAAUCCGUAGAGAUAACUAGGAAUACCAAAAGCGAAGGCAAUCUUCUGGAACAUUACUGACGCUGAGGCGCGAAAGCGUGGGGAGCAAACAGGAUUAGAAACCCUAGUAGUCC